CAGUGGGGGAAUUUGUGUGUGCGCGAGGAUGAAUGUUAGCGAAAAAUAACGACAAUAAAAUUUAGCUUUGUAAAGCACUGUAAGCAAAGUACCGAUCGAUCACAGGAAGAAGCAGAAACCUCUCUCUGCUCAGGUAUCGCAGCUGCCCGGUGAGCAGCUCUGCAUUCUGAGGCACAGAUAGCUGCCUCUCUUCCCAGCAGUUCCUUCAGGAAUGGAUCACUGCGUUUUAAAAGAAAUAAAAUGAAUAUGUGGGAUUAGUCCAGAAAUACGGCUGCAACAGGCAAUUUUUAGUCAGGAAAGCAAACAGCAGAGUCCAGACUGCACCAGGCCGCGAAUGGUCUUUGCCGUGUUGUACCCAGCGAGCCCCAGCGAAUCAACGUGUUCAAGGCUGCCAGCCCUUGUCAAGAAUAGCCGACUAAAGUUGGCCGGAAGAGGGAUGCAAUUCGUUUUUAUUUCUACACCAAGGAGGAGUUUGUAUGAAGCAGCAGUAUAUUAAGAUGCAAAAAGUUACUCAAAUGGAAAACAAAAAACAACAUAGGUGUUGUAAAGCAGAUGGGAAAAGGGAGUAAAAGCAUGCGUCAAAAGCAUGCUCAAGAGCUCUGUCUCUCUCAGUGCUCAAGCUAUUUCUUCCCAUCUUUUUAAAGAAGUUAACAACACACUACCCAAUAAGGCUAUAAAAGGAUUUUUCAGCUCAGUGGAGUUUGUCUAAUUCAGGAUCUGGUUAGACCAUAGUAUAAUGGCAAUACAAGAAAUUACUCCACGUCCCCGAAGCCACAUAAUCACUUGUAAUCCACCCUGAGCACAAGGCAGUGACUAAACCCUUUUCUGGGGAGGUCUCUUACCUCAAGCAUAGGACGGCCAGCAACCAGCACUGUGACAGCUAUGACUGUUCAGCUGAUAGAAGCCAGCAAAGCAACCCUGAUUCCACUUGGAAUUUGACAUUCAUUGCAAUCCUCACCUACUGUAGGAAACACCUAACACUGCCCACUUAUUCCAAGCAAGUCCAGCUACUACCUCCCCUGAAGAUCCCAAAGCAGAGUGCUGAAUACCUGCUAAGCACAAAGCGUGGUACACAGUCACAAGCAAACCCAGAGGUUACUCAUUGUGAACUGAGUAUAUAAUUUGGCAUUUAGUUUGAUAUGAUAUAAUAUUCACACAUUAGACAAUUUUUCAAUUAUGAGUUAAGUAUUUUGCAGUAUCUUGAGGAGAUGAAGAGAAGCAUUUAAUUUUCCAGAAGUUAUAAAAGGUGCUUGCUGUUUCGGUAAUGAAUUCAGUCCUCUAACUCACCUCAAGUAAUAAAACUGGACAUAUGCGUGCUUGUUUGUAAAUAAUCUGUAGCAAGUCAUCUUCAAAACCUGUACUUCAGGACUUCUGAAUGUUAGGUGUCUAUAUCACUUCCACAGGCAGUUAAAACCAUGUUACCCUCUUGUAACCCUCUGUGUUCUCAUGGUAACAUCACUGAUGUUUGUGGAUAACCUCCAAACACUUGAAAUAUUCAUACUGCAAGCCCUUACAGUUGUUAAUAAGAAAAUAACUAAAGACUUCAGUCUUUACCUUCUUUACACUGAGACCAAGUUCAUUUUUGAAGAAACCCAGUCUGUUAUCCAGUCUUUCCACUGAAAACAACAGCAGAUAUGGAGCUCUCGAGACCAUCUGAGCAAUUUCUGACUUACCAAAUUUUUUUGAUUUUAGGUAAGCCACUCUAGAAAGAGAACAAAAACAAAAUAAAAUCCAGUGAUGAAAAUUU